CCUACGGGGUGCAGCAGUGAGGAAUAUUGGUCAAUGGCCGGAAGGCUGAACCAGCCAUGCCGCGUGAAGGUCAGUGCCCUAUGGGCGUUAAACUUCUUUUGUGCGGGAGCAAUAAUGGUCACGUGUGGCCAGACGAGAGUACCGUACGAAUAAGCAUCGGCUAACUCCGUGCCAGCAGCCGCGGUAAUACGGGGGAUGCAAGCGUUAUCCGGAUUUAUUGGGUUUAAAGGGUGCGUAGGCUGUGAGGUAAGUCAGCGGGGAAAUGCCCCCGCUCAACGGGGUGAAGUGCCAUUGAUACUGCCUUGCUGGAGUGCGGAUGCCGUGGGAGGAAUGUGUGGUGUAGCGGUGAAAUGCAUAGAUAUCACACAGAACACCGAUUGCGAAGGCAUCUCACGAAUCCGCGAUUGACGCUGAUGCACGAAAGCGUGGGUAUCAAACAGGAUUAGAUACCCGAGUAGUC
rnacentral:rRNA from 1 species